GCUUCCCCAUCUUAGCAUAAUUGAACUUGCCUCUUCUUCUCUUUGGGGCUGCCUUGCUGUCAAACACCAAGACCAAGUUUGAAGAAAAGUUCAAUUGCAACUUGCAACCUCAUCUCAGUUUGCUGCCUUGUUGUCGUGGUUCCCAAUCCCAUCUCAUCUUGCUAUCUUGUCCAAGAUCAAGCUUCAAACUUGAAGAUCAAAAGAAGACCCCUCUUCAUCAUGGCUCAACUUCCAAUAUGGCCGAGGCACUCAUCAACCUGCUUCUGGAACAAUUGGCUGCAGUUGCUUUUGACCACACAAAGGGAGCUGCGACACUGGUUUUGAAAGCUGAGAGAGGUAAAAAAGUUCAGCAGCAAUCUCAAAGCAAUUCAAGCGGUGCUCGAUUGAGGAUGCUGAGAAGGAGCAAGUGGAGAAGGCUAGCGUGAGGAACUGGUUGGAUCGACUGAAAGAUGUCUCUUAUGAGAUGGUUGACGUGCUAGAUGAGUGGAACACUGCAAUUCUGAAACAAACAAACAAAAAGGGCAAAAGGAGUCAUUUUUGGGAAUAAUGAACACUCAAACAUCAUCAUCCUCUGAUUUAUUCCCAAAAUUGAAACAACUAUGCCAUGCAUGCCUUGUUUCCUUCACAAUUCAGUACUGCCCUAAGCUGAUGAACCUGCCAUUCUUCCUGAAAAACACACCGGUCAGUAGAAUUUACAUCACCAAAUGUCGGCGGAGUAUUAUAAUACCUGAUCCGGUAAUACCAAAUGUUUUUGAGAGUAGGGUUGAAACAGAGAUACAAAUAAACUCACAGAGUGAUGAGGAGAUAACCAUGAUCACCUGAAACUGUAAAGCUUAAAGGCUACUACUGUAAAUAUUUGAUUGAGAGGGAAUUGAGUUCCUCUUCCACUGAAAGCAGCUGCAGGUCUUAGGAGACAUGGCAAGAGUUACAGAUUAAGAUGAUGCCCAAAACCAUCUCAAGUCUAACAUGAAACAUGGAAAGUUUUCUUAGUUGGAGAUGUGGCAAGAGUUACAAAUUCAGAUGUAACCUCUUUGCUAGCAUUAGAAUUUGGAAGCAGGUACCCUGAAAUUUUCUUCCACAUUUUCUUUCUACUAUAAAAACUAGUAAAAUUCAUUAAAGAACAUAAAACCCCAAAAGAAUCAUCAUUUUUUCUCUUUCUGGCAAAAUAGUGUGAUUAGACAAAAAAAUUACAUGUACAAGAUGUAUUAGCCUAGGAAGACAUACUCGAUAUGUUAGGUUCAUUGCAUUCAUGCCGGGUUUAUAUUUUUUGAGCUUCUUGCAUCAGUCAUACUUCUUCUUACGGAUCUUGUGAUGACAUAAACCAGAGUGCAAACAGUCAAUUACAGAUCCUCAAUUCCUUGGAAGGACUGAUAAUGAUGUCAUAACAAUAGAACACUAAGCUGAAGAAGAAGCACAGUAUGAGCAGAGUUUCUGAUGCGGGAAGCGUGAACACGAUAGUAAGAGACUCCGUCAAGCGUCGAAAGUCAUAUGAGAUGAGCUAGAAUCCACUAGCAAUUACGGGCACAGC